rnacentral:rRNA from 1 species
UUUGGUUAAGUUAGAAAGGGCGCACGGUGGAUGCCUUGACACUAGGAGUCGAUGAAGGACGGGACUAACGCCGAUAUGCUUCGGGGAGCUGUAAGUAAGCUUUGAUCCGAAGAUUUCCGAAUGGGGAAACCCACCAUACGUAAUGGUAUGGUAUCCUUAUCUGAAUACAUAGGGUAAGGAAGACAGACCCAGGGAACUGAAACAUCUAAGUACCUGGAGGAAGAGAAAGCAAAUGCGAUUUCCUGAGUAGCGGCGAGCGAAACGGAACAUAGCCCAAACCAAGAGGCUUGCCUCUUGGGGUUGUAGGACAUUCUAUACGGAGUUACAAAGGAACGAGGUAGACGAAGCGACCUGGAAAGGUCCGUCGUAGAGGGUAACAACCCCGUAGUCGAAACUUCGUUCUCUCUUGAAUGUAUCCUGAGUACGGCGGAACACGUGAAAUUCCGUCGGAAUCUGGGAGGACCAUCUCCCAAGGCUAAAUACUCCCUAGUGAUCGAUAGUGAACCAGUACCGUGAGGGAAAGGUGAAAAGCACCCCGGAAGGGGAGUGAAAGAGAUCCUGAAACCGUGUGCCUACAAAUAGUCAGAGCCCGUUAACGGGUGAUGGCGUGCCUUUUGUAGAAUGAACCGGCGAGUUACGAUCCCGUGCGAGGUUAAGCUGAAGAGGCGGAGCCGCAGCGAAAGCGAGUCUGAAUAGGGCGUUUAGUACGUGGUCGUAGACCCGAAACCAGGUGAUCUACCCAUGUCCAGGGUGAAGUUCAGGUAACACUGAAUGGAGGCCCGAACCCACGCACGUUGAAAAGUGCGGGGAUGAGGUGUGGGUAGCGGAGAAAUUCCAAUCGAACCUGGAGAUAGCUGGUUCUCCCCGAAAUAGCUUUAGGGCUAGCCUUAAGUGUAAGAGUCUUGGAGGUAGAGCACUGAUUGGACUAGGGGUCCUCAUCGGAUUACCGAAUUCAGUCAAACUCCGAAUGCCAAUGACUUAUCCUUAGGAGUCAGACUGCGAGUGAUAAGAUCCGUAGUCAAAAGGGAAACAGCCCAGACCGCCAGCUAAGGUCCCAAAGUGUGUAUUAAGUGGAAAAGGAUGUGGAGUUGCUUAGACAACUAGGAUGUUGGCUUAGAAGCAGCCACCAUUUAAAGAGUGCGUAAUAGCUCACUAGUCGAGUGACUCUGCGCCGAAAAUGUACCGGGGCUAAAUACACCACCGAAGCUGCGGAUUGAUACCGAAUGGUAUCAGUGGUAGGGGAGCGUUCUAAGGACAGUGAAGUCAGACCGGAAGGACUGGUGGAGUGCUUAGAAGUGAGAAUGCCGGUAUGAGUAGCGAAAGACGGGUGAGAAUCCCGUCCACCGAAUGCCUAAGGUUUCCUGAGGAAGGCUCGUCCGCUCAGGGUUAGUCAGGACCUAAGCCGAGGCCGACAGGCGUAGGCGAUGGACAACAGGUUGAUAUUCCUGUACCACCUCUUUAUCGUUUGAGCAAUGGAGGGACGCAGAAGGAUAGAAGAACCGUGCGAUUGGUUGUGCACGUCCAAGCAGUUAGGCUGAUAAGUAGGCAAAUCCGCUUAUCAUAAAGGCUGAGCUGUGAUGGGGAAGCUCCUUAUGGAGCGAAGUCUUUGAUUCCCCGCUGCCAAGAAAAGCUUCUAGCGAGAUAAAAGGUGCCUGUACCGCAAACCGACACAGGUAGGCGAGGAGAGAAUCCUAAGGUGUGCGAGAGAACUCUGGUUAAGGAACUCGGCAAAAUGACCCCGUAACUUCGGGAGAAGGGGUGCUUUCUUAACGGAAAGCCGCAGUGAAUAGGCCCAAGCGACUGUUUAGCAAAAACACAGCUCUCUGCGAAGCCGUAAGGCGAAGUAUAGGGGGUGACACCUGCCCGGUGCUGGAAGGUUAAGGAGAGGGGUUAGCGUAAGCGAAGCUCUGAACUGAAGCCCCAGUAAACGGCGGCCGUAACUAUAACGGUCCUAAGGUAGCGAAAUUCCUUGUCGGGUAAGUUCCGACCCGCACGAAAGGUGUAACGAUUUGGGCACUGUCUCAACCAGAGACUCGGUGAAAUUAUAGUACCUGUGAAGAUGCAGGUUACCCGCGACAGGACGGAAAGACCCCGUGGAGCUUUACUGUAGCCUGAUAUUGAAUUUUGGUACAGUUUGUACAGGAUAGGCGGGAGCCAUUGAAACCGGAGCGCUAGCUUCGGUGGAGGCGCUGGUGGGAUACCGCCCUGACUGUAUUGAAAUUCUAACCUACGGGUCUUAUCGACCCGGGAGACAGUGUCAGGUGGGCAGUUUGACUGGGGCGGUCGCCUCCUAAAGUGUAACGGAGGCGCCCAAAGGUUCCCUCAGAAUGGUUGGAAAUCAUUCGUAGAGUGCAAAGGCAUAAGGGAGCUUGACUGCGAGACCUACAAGUCGAGCAGGGACGAAAGUCGGGCUUAGUGAUCCGGUGGUUCCGCAUGGAAGGGCCAUCGCUCAACGGAUAAAAGCUACCCCGGGGAUAACAGGCUUAUCUCCCCCAAGAGUCCACAUCGACGGGGAGGUUUGGCACCUCGAUGUCGGCUCAUCGCAUCCUGGGGCUGUAGUCGGUCCCAAGGGUUGGGCUGUUCGCCCAUUAAAGCGGUACGCGAGCUGGGUUCAGAACGUCGUGAGACAGUUCGGUCCCUAUCCGUCGUGGGCGUAGGAAAUUUGAGAGGAGCUGUCCUUAGUACGAGAGGACCGGGAUGGACGCACCGCUGGUGUACCAGUUGUUCUGCCAAGGGCAUAGCUGGGUAGCUAUGUGCGGAAGGGAUAAGUGCUGAAAGCAUCUAAGCAUGAAGCCCCCCUCAAGAUGAGAUUUCCCAUAGCGUAAGCUAGUAAGAUCCCUGAAAGAUGAUCAGGUUGAUAGGUUCGAGGUGGAAGCAUGGUGACAUGUGGAGCUGACGAAUACUAAUAGAUCGAGGACUUAACCAUAUAA